UACGGAGGAUGCGAGCGUUAUCCGGAUUUAUUGGGUUUAAAGGGUGCGUAGGCGGACUGUCAAGUCAGCGGUAAAAUACGGGGGCUCAACCUCCGCCCGCCGUUGAAACUGACGGUCUUGAGUGGGCGAGAAGUAUGCGGAAUGCGUGGUGUAGCGGUGAAAUGCAUAGAUAUCACGCAGAACUUCGAUUGCGAAGGCAGCAUACCGGCGCCCUACUGACGCUGAGGCACGAAAGCGUGGGUAUCGAACAGG
rnacentral:rRNA from 1 species